ACGGAGGGUGCAAGCGUUAAUCGGAAUUACUGGGCGUAAAGCGCGCGUAGGUGGCUAAGUCAGCCAGGUGUGAAAGCCCCGGGCUCAACCUGGGAACGGCAUCUGGAACUGCUUGGCUAGAGUGCAGGAGAGGAAGGUAGAAUUCCCGGUGUAGCGGUGAAAUGCGUAGAGAUCGGGAGGAAUACCAGUGGCGAAGGCGGCCUUCUGGACUGACACUGACACUGAGGUGCGAAAGCGUGGGUAGCAAACAGG
rnacentral:rRNA from 1 species